rnacentral:rRNA from 1 species
UCUACGGAGAGUUUGAUCCUGGCUCAGGACGAACGCUGGCGGCGUGCUUAACACAUGCAAGUCGAACGGACUUUCAGGAGCUUGCUCCUGCGAGUUAGUGGCGAACGGGUGAGUAACACGUGAGUAACCUGCCCCCUACUCUGGGAUAACCUCGGGAAACCGAAGCUAAUACCGGAUACGACGCGCGACGGCAUCGUCUGCGCGUGGAAAGAAUUUCGGUGGGGGAUGGACUCGCGGCCUAUCAGCUAGUUGGUGAGGUAAUGGCUCACCAAGGCGACGACGGGUAGCCGGCCUGAGAGGGUGACCGGCCACACUGGGACUGAGACACGGCCCAGACUCCUACGGGAGGCAGCAGUGGGGAAUAUUGCACAAUGGGCGCAAGCCUGAUGCAGCAACGCCGCGUGAGGGACGACGGCCUUCGGGUUGUAAACCUCUUUUGGCAGGGAAGAAGGGAGCUUGCUCUUGACGGUACCUGCAGAAAAAGCACCGGCUAACUACGUGCCAGCAGCCGCGGUAAUACGUAGGGUGCAAGCGUUGUCCGGAAUUAUUGGGCGUAAAGAGCUCGUAGGCGGUUUGUCGCGUCUGCUGUGAAAACGCGAGGCUCAACCUCGCGCCUGCAGUGGGUACGGGCAGACUAGAGUGCGGUAGGGGAGAUUGGAAUUCCUGGUGUAGCGGUGGAAUGCGCAGAUAUCAGGAGGAACACCGAUGGCGAAGGCAGAUCUCUGGGCCGUAACUGACGCUGAGGAGCGAAAGCGUGGGGAGCGAACAGGAUUAGAUACCCUGGUAGUCCACGCCGUAAACGUUGGGAACUAGAUGUGGGGUCCAUUCCACGGAUUCCGUGUCGCAGCUAACGCAUUAAGUUCCCCGCCUGGGGAGUACGGCCGCAAGGCUAAAACUCAAAGGAAUUGACGGGGGCCCGCACAAGCGGCGGAGCAUGCGGAUUAAUUCGAUGCAACGCGAAGAACCUUACCAAGGCUUGACAUAUACCUGAAAAGGCUGGAAACAGUCUCCCCGCAAGGCAGGUAUACAGGUGGUGCAUGGUUGUCGUCAGCUCGUGUCGUGAGAUGUUGGGUUAAGUCCCGCAACGAGCGCAACCCUCGUUCUAUGUUGCCAGCACGUAAUGGUGGGAACUCAUAGGAGACUGCCGGGGUCAACUCGGAGGAAGGUGGGGAUGACGUCAAAUCAUCAUGCCCCUUAUGUCUUGGGCUUCACGCAUGCUACAAUGGCCGGUACAAAGGGCUGCAAUACCGUAAGGUGGAGCGAAUCCCAAAAAGCCGGUCUCAGUUCGGAUUGAGGUCUGCAACUCGACCUCAUGAAGUCGGAGUCGCUAGUAAUCGCAGAUCAGCAACGCUGCGGUGAAUACGUUCUCGGGCCUUGUACACACCGCCCGUCAAGUCAUGAAAGUCGGUAACACCCGAAGCCGGUGGCCCAACCCUUGUGGAGGGAGCCGUCGAAGGUGGGAUCGGUGAUUAGGACUAAGUCGUAACAAGGUAGCCGUACCGGAAGGUGCGGCUGGAUCACCUCCUUUCUAAGGA